rnacentral:rRNA from 1 species
GACGAACGCUGGCGGCGUGCUUAACACAUGCAAGUCGAACGGAAAGGCCUCUUUCGGGGGGUACUCGAGUGGCGAACGGGUGAGUAACACGUGAGUAACCUGCCCUUGACUUUGGGAUAACUUCAGGAAACUGGGGCUAAUACCGGAUAGGAGCUCCUGCUGCAUGGUGGGGGUUGGAAAGUUUCGGCGGUUGGGGAUGGACUCGCGGCUUAUCAGCUUGUUGGUGGGGUAGUGGCUUACCAAGGCUUUGACGGGUAGCCGGCCUGAGAGGGUGACCGGCCACAUUGGGACUGAGAUACGGCCCAGACUCCUACGGGAGGCAGCAGUGGGGAAUAUUGCACAAUGGGUGGAAGCCUGAUGCAGCAACGCCGUGUGCGGGAUGACGGCCUUCGGGUUGUAAACCGCUUUCGCUCAUGACGAAGCUUUGUGUGACGGUAGUGGGUAAAGAAGCAGCGGCUAACUACGUG